AACUCCCCUCUUCAUAUAAAAAAACAGAACCCUAGAAGUUGACCCAUGAUUCCACCAUCCUCUGGUGGCAGCGCCACCACCAAAUUGACCCCAAAUCAAUAACUCAUAACCACCAUCACCCCCUCAUUCCAAAUCCUCACUCCAUUUUCCUCGAAUCUUAUAGAGCUUCUCGAAUCUUAAAUCUAAAGUUCGAACCCUAAAAUCCCAAAGCCAAAUCUAUACAUACAAGGCUAUUUCUCCAGUUUUCCUACGUAUUCAGGGUCGGUUUUAUCACAAAAUAAAGGUAUUCGCUUGUUCUUGACAAAGAAUUGACAUCAUUUGGGGAUUUAAAUCGAAAUAUCAGUCUCGAGUUCGAGCUUUGGACAGUGAGUUUUCCUUUGUUUUGUGUUCAUUUUUGUGUUAUUUCAACUUUCGUUCUUCAUCUCUCCUUCUUUUCCUUUGGUUAAUUCAACUGAAACUUGACCAAAGUUUCUAGUCUAUAUUAAGUAAUGUCAUUUUUAUACCUUUUUAGUUUUCUUUUCUAAAUCUUGUUCCCUGAUUUUUCUUGGUGUGUUUAGUCUUUCAUGUUAACAACAUGAUUAAAGUUAUAAUUUCAUCUCUCGUUUAGUCACCUAGUUAAUUUAAUUAGGUUUAUUUUAAUAACUUAGUCAAUCCUGCUAACUUGAGUUUAGUAAUCAUUCAAUUAGUGUAGUUUCGGUUUCGAAAUCAUUUAAGUGUUUUCCCUCUGUUUGUUCACUGAUUUGAUUUGUCUCAUUUUGUUGUUUAGGCUUUGAAGCCACUUUAGAAUUCAACCCACGGGGUUGAUUUAGGUUAUUGGGUCAGAAUUGAACCCACAAUUGGUAUAACUAUUGGGUCAUUUGACCCAUGACCCAUAUCUAUUUGGUUUUAAGGGUGAAUAACAAGGCUUAAAGGGGUAAUUUAGGAACUCUAGGUGGGGGAAAUCUCAGUAACUGAAUUAGGAAGCUUCCUAGAAGCUAUCAUGGGGACCUAAAUGAAAAGUGAUUUUUUCUGCUAAGGUUACAUAAGCAAAAAUGAAAAUUUCAAAAGGAUUUAGGUGCAAAACUAAAUGUAUUUCUGCCGACCUAAAACCUUGAUCAUCAAGGCAAUUUUUCUUCAAGAUCAAGUCAGAUAUUUUAGAGAUAAAAAAUACUAAAACGUAAAAACGGCCUGAAUUAGGAAGCUUCCUAGAAGCUGUCAUGGGGACCUAAAUGAAAACUGAUUUUUUGCGCUAAGGUUACAUAAGCAAAAAUGAAAAUUUCAAAAGGAUUUAGGUGGCAAAACUAAAUGUAUUUCUGCAGCCCUAAAACCUUGCUUAUAAAGGCACUUUUUUUUUUUCUUCAAGCUCAAGUCAGAUAUUUUAGAGAUAAAAAACACUAAAACGUAAAAACGGCUGGGUAUUUUAUUCAAGCUGAAAACCCUGAUUUCUCUGCUCUUCUUGGUUGAAAAUUGCUCAAAUUUGGUCUUGUUUCUGGAUUUCUGACUUUUCUGCUUAGCUAUAACUUCUACAAAUCACAAACUCUUGUAUAUGCAAAGAAAUGGUUUGAAUUUUGGGUAGUACGGAGUUUGGUUUAAGCUGUUUUGGUUUGGGGUGAUGUUAUUGUUGAAUCUGGUUUUGUAUUGAUGAUUCUGCUAUGUUGAUUCUUCACUUCUCUUAUUUCCUUUUAUUGCCAGGUACUACUUUGAACCAUGAAUUUGGAAAUGAGGUGCUGAAUUUGGAUCGAAAGACCUGUUUCUUAGUUUGAAAUCAAUCAAAACUUGUUCUUUGUUAGGACUUUAUUUUUGCACAUUUCUUCUAGGCUAUGUAGUCUGAUUCUCUUUCUUUGCUUUUACUCAUUUCACCAUAAUUUAAUUACUGUGAUACAUUCCUGUUGAAUGGAGUUUAUUUCUGUGCUGUAUGUACUUAGAAUCAUAUGAAAAUUAGCUAAUAGUAUUUAGUUGAAGGUUUUUUAUAUACAACCAACUAGUGGUUACUGUUAUUUAUUUAUUUUUUUUGAAUAAAAAGGCCUUGAGAUUUUUUUUAAUAAAUGGUUUAAGAAGCAUGAUUUGUUUGUCGUGAAGGAGAGGCUUAAGAUCACGUUGUGAGAAGCUUCAUGAAUACUGUCUAUAAAUUGAGCACUUAUUAGAGGCAAAUGUUAUUGUGAGUAGCAGAAUGUUUAUUUUGGAAAUUAACUGUUGAUCCAAAGUCAUUAGUAAUGAGUAUUUUAGGUGGAAGAAUGGGAUAGAGAUUAGCAUAUGGUAAUAUAUGUAUUCUAUAUUUGCGGUUCAUGCUAGUGCAUAGAUUGUUUGGUAAAAUGAUUGUGUAUGAGAAUUAUAACAACAGCUUUAGAAGUUUAAUUGAAUGGCGCUUAAAUUUUAUGUACAUGGGUACUUCGAGCAAUUAAUGGUUUGUUUGUUCAUAAUACUGAUACCAAGUAACGUACUUUGGGCUUGGAUAUUAUAGUUCCAUUGGGAGUCUAGGGUUUCUUUGAUGCCCAAGUUGAUUUGUCUCCAUUCAGACUCGAACUCGAGUCCACUCUCACACUAAAACUUGGGCUCAUUCCAGGCCCAAGUUAGAAGUCAUUUGCGAGUAGGAAUUUAUUGUACGUCAUGCAUAGGCAUGUGUACUUUAUCGAACCAACUACCUCAAUUAAAUGCUGCUAUUGGCCCAAAUCGUGUGCAUAGUAAUUGGAUCUGUUUGCAAGCCCAAAUCCCUUGAUCAUCAAUUGAGCUUGAGCAUCCUGCUUUAGAAUAACUUAUAAAUCCACCUAGCCCUUUUAAGUUAUUGAUUGUGAAUCCCUAGAAAUCGAGGCGUGCCAUUUAGUUGAAAUUUUCCAUGGCCCUCGCAAAGUUGAAAGUGCAUAGUUGCUUUAGGCGCGCUAUUAUUUUUUAAAAAAAAUUACUUUCUUAAACUCGGGUGUGCAUUUCAUGUGACCCAAAUUUAAAUACAACA
rnacentral:lncRNA from 1 species